GCCGCAUUGGCGUAGUGGUAUGCGCGUCCCACUUGUACUCAGCGUCUCGCUCAGGCAAUGGGGAGGUCACUCGUUCGACCCGGGUAUGUGGCA